CUACGGGUUGCAGCAGUGAGGAAUAUUGGUCAAUGGGCGCAAGCCUGAACCAGCCAUCCCGCGUGAAGGAUGACUGCCCUAUGGGUUGUAAACUUCUUUUCUGUACCAAGAAUGGCCCCUACGUGUAGGGAUUUGACGGUAGUACAGGAAUAAGCAUCGGCUAACUCCGGGCCAGCAGCCGCGGUAAUACGGAGGAUGCAAGCGUUAUCCGGAUUUAUUGGGUUUAAAGGGUCCGCAGGCGGACCGGUAAGUCAGUGGUGAAAUCCUGCAGCUUAACUGUAGAACUGCCAUUGAUACUGUCGGUCUUGAGUCUGGUCGAGGUAGGCGGAAUGAGUAGUGUAGCGGUGAAAUGCUUAGAUAUUACUCAGAACACCGAUUGCGAAGGCAGCUUACUAGACCAGUACUGACGCUGAUGGACGAAAGCGUGGGGAGCGAACAGGAUUAGAUACCCUAGUAGUC
rnacentral:rRNA from 1 species